rnacentral:rRNA from 1 species
AUUGAACGCUGGCGGCAGGCCUAACACAUGCAAGUCGAGCGGUAGAGAGGUGCUUGCACCUCUUGAGAGCGGCGGACGGGUGAGUAAUGCCUAGGAAUCUGCCUGGUGUGGGGGAUAACGUUCGGAAACGGACGCUAAUACCGCAUACGUCCUACGGGAGAAAGCGGGGGAUCUUCGGGACCUCGCGCCAUUAGAUGAGCCUAGGUCGGAUUAGCUAGUUGGUGAGGUAAUGGCUCACCAAGGCGACGAUCCGUAACUGGUCUGAGAGGAUGAUCAGUCACACUGGAACUGAGACACGGUCCAGACUCCUACGGGAGGCAGCAGUGGGGGAAUAUUGGACAAUAGGCGAAGACCUGAUCCAGCCAUGCCGCGUGUGUGAGAAGGUCUU